AGACACACACCUUACAGCUCCAUCUACUUUAAGAGUCCCUGUGUGGAUCAGAGGGCUUCAGUGCUUCACUGCCACUGAGAAGAACCUUAAAGAUGAUUUCUCUUACUGUAAUCCUACUAGCUAUGGGACUCAUAGCACAAGCAUCAUCAGCUGAUAUAAUUCUGACUCAGUCUCACUCAUCAAAGUCCGUUAAGGCUGGAGAAACUGUCUCUAUCAGCUGCACAGCCAGUCAGACUGUUUCCGGUUAUCUGCACUGGUACUCCCAGAAACCUGGAGAAGCUCCUAAACUCCUGAUCUACUACGCAACAACUCGUCAGUCUGGUGUUCCAGAUCGUUUCAGUGGGAGUGGGUCUGGUACACAGUACACUCUGACCAUCAGCAGAGUCCAGCCUGAAGAUGCUGCAGAUUAUUACUGUCAGCAGGGUAAUGCACUUCCAUUCACACAGUGUUAGAGCGCCGUACAAAAACCUCCCUCAGCAGGAGAGAAUCAGAGCCCUCAGGAGACUGAUCUGAGAACAGGUGCAGAGCUGCUACAGAUGACUGAACUCAGCUCAUGGUAGCAGCUCUUUCAGAGGAUGUGCACAUGAUCUCAGUCUCACCAGUACAGCAUGUUAAAAUAGAUCUCACACUUCCUCUAUUUGACUGACAGGUGUCCAGUGUCCAUCCCGUCAGUCAUUUAGAAACAUCUAGAAGAUCCUCCCUCUUUUCCCCUCAUAUCCACAAGUAAGAUGAAUACCCAUCUUACACAAUCUUAACCUUCACCUCCUCUACAAUAGUCUGAUUUAAUGUCUGGAAUAAACUAGAUACAACUAUGUACUCAACGUUAACAUAAAGGAAAUUCAAAAGUGUUGAUUGGUUAGUCAUCUUUCUAUGUCAUCAAUUCUUCCCCCUCAUUACCUAGUACACAUACAUGAGAUCAGUUGUAGACAUUUUGAUGUCCUUGGCAAACUAUCUUUUAUAUAGCAGCAUGGUGUCUUGUAUUUGUAUUUGUAGCUGGAUAAUGAAAUAUUAUU